UAUCUCUUUGAUUCCUGCUGCUUACAGUCUGGCAUCUGGUCCCCACCUUUUUAUAAAGCCCUGAGCUCACCUGAGCGCUGUGGGGGUACACGCCCGGAAACUUCCCAAACACAGAAAAUAAGAAGAGAGUAAGAAAACACAGGCAGAGGGCAGAGUCUCUGCAGAUAAAUACACCACCACACACUGAGAGUGGCUCAUAAGCAAGGGCGGACUGGCCAUCGGGAGUACCGGGAGAUUUCCCAGUGGGCCGCUGGGUCAGUGUGGGCCGGUACAGCCAGAGGAAAAACAAAAA